ensembl:lncRNA
GGAGAGAUGAAUGGGAGGAUGGUGGAGUCAGAAGCAGAGUAGAUGUGAAAGCAGUUCAGAACCAGGGUCCAGACCAGGGAGAAAACACUCACAUUCCUCUUUAGAGUGGGCCUGCGGCCACGUGGUCAGAGCAAUCCAAGUGGCUUUACAUGGUGAAUGGGCAUGACUCUGACUGUGCCAUUAGCAGAUGAUUCCUCAAGUGUUGGGAGGUCAUGUGCCUCAAAACUAGCCAGGUAAAAUGCAUUCCUGGAAAAUAAGUUCCACUUGAGGGGCUCAUGCAGUGAUUCACCUGAAGCUCAUUCAGGUACGUUUUCCUUUCGCAUUGUAAAAGAUGUGCCAGGGUGGCCACCGCUGAGGGCUCUGCAGGGCUUGCCCUGCCUCUUGGUGGGGGUGAGUGGAUUAAUUGGUGGUAAUGGUAAGGUGAUGGCAUGAGGGGAUUGAGGUGAGCCAUUGAGAAGACCCUGCGUCAGGAUUAGGCAUCUGGACAGAUUGCAUCACUGAGAGCUGGAAUCAUUCCUGCGGAGCCCCUUGGCUUGUUGCUCCUCCAUGAGAGGGGUCUCUGUUGGAGUGAGAGACUGCAAUCCAUCAUCCACCAGUGGAGGGAAGCAAAAGACAGAAAAGGCAAGAAGGAAGGCAGAAAGAAAAGAGGGCCCACCGAAAUGAUGUGGUCUACACCAGUAUCUCAGGAUGGAGAAGCUCAGCAAGCCUUACAAAAGAAUGAUCCACACUCACUGUUUUCACCUCCUCCUCUCCCAUUCCCUCCCGCCACACCUCUGGGACCACCUUUCCCAGGGUUACUGAAGGCUCCCUUUGUACAGAAUCCAAUGGACACUUUUAAGUCCUUGUUUCCUGGAUCUCUCUUGGGAGUUGCCACCACUCCUCCUUGGAACUGUUCUCUUGGCUCCUGAAAUUCUUCCACUCUGCUUCUCCUUUCUGGUAUCGGGACUUUUGUUCCUCUACAAGAAUUCUUCCUCCACCCACCCCCUAAAAGUUGCUGCCCAGGGAUUUUUGCUCAGAUCAUUGUCCUUCCCUGUCUUGCCCAGGCAGCCUCAACCUGUCUCAGACUUUAACUACUACCUCUAUGUGGGUAACUUACAAAUCUUUAUGGUUAGCACUGACUUCCCCUCUGAGUGCCCAGAAACUAUAUAUAACUGAAUGCUAUACAUCUCAACUUGGAAAUCCCACAGAUACCUCAAAAUUAACAUUUUCAAAGCUAAUCUCAUUAUUUUCACUCCACUUAAUCCCCCACCCCCUGGGUUCUAUGAAAUAAACCCUGGGAUACUCCUCCCUGUAUUCCAUGUAUGAGUUCAUGGCAUUGGCAUCCAGUCCAACACCCAAACUAGAAUCUGGGGGUCCUCUUAGACUCCUCUGUCUCCCUUAUCCUUCCUUUUGACAUUGUGUGUCCAAAUAUUAAUCCUGCUGGCAUUUGCUUCCUAAAUGUUUCUUCUCUACUAUAAUAGUUUAGAACAAACUAUAUUUCUUCUGGACCAUAACCCCUUAACUGCCUCUGGACAAGGUCCUGCUUAAAAUCAUAAUCCACCUAGAGCUAGAGUGAUAAAUCCAAAUUUGCUCUGUCAUUCUCUUUCUUAAAAAACUCAAAUGACUUCCUCUUACCCAUGAGCCUCAAGGUUCUCCUUGAAUUGACCCCUAUCUAUUUCUCCAGCCACCCCCUAACUUACACUUCAAUUCCUACAACUCACCAUGCUAAUUCUCUUUUCUGUGUCCUGGAUCAUGGUGAGAAUGCCCUGCCCACCCCACUUUACCUAAAAACUGUUACUCAGUCUUUAAGAUAUAACUCAGAUGUUAUCAUCUCCAAGAACCCUCUUCUGAACCUUUAUGGUGGGUUGUGGCUCCUUGUCAUCAUGCUCUGUGACCAUGUGUCCUAGGGAAUAAUCUGGAAGGCUAGCGGUCUCCUAAGACAUUCCCUUGGUGAAUUUACCAGUCCAGGGUCUGGUACUCAACCUGGCAGUUUCAGAACCUGAACUCAUCAGCAUAUUGAGAACAGACCCAUCUCUUAGGGGCAGGCUCAAAUUCACUAACUUCUUGAAAAAUGUAUAAAGUCAGAAUACCAACAGAUUAACUACAAUAAGAACUAUAACUUUCUAAAGGACCGUAAUACCGGAGUGUGAGAAACCAGUGCAUUCUUUCCUUACAAAGAGACCUACCUAUGGAGAUGCCCGAGAAUCAGAACCACUGAAACUAGAUAAAUCCAACAACUCAUGGAAUCAGACCAAAUAAUUUGAUGCCUCUCUCUCUACGUCAGGAAUGAGCUUGCCAACAGGAUCAUAGUGUUAGAAGUCAGUUAACUUAUGGUCCCUGUUCCCAGGCCAAGCCAGGAAAGUCACUGCCAAUGCUAGCCUCUGGAAUCCCCUUUCACUUCCCUGGCUGACCAAGCUUCCCUGGCUCCUGAUCUGGGUGCUUCUCUCUCAUUAAUCCUUUGGUGAAGUUACUGAAGAGGCCUGUAGCAAAGGCCAUCCUUGUGGUUUAUGUUUUGAUCCUUUAAAUGUGGAUUUCAUAGUUUAAGAACUCAACUGUACUUCCAGGUUAUGUUGGAGGCCUCUGUGUAGCAGCCAAAUAGAAACUAGAAACUUGAGCAUUUAUCAGUCAUUAUCAGAAGCAGGGGGCCAGGGCCUUGCAAGGGAAGCAGGGUGAGGGGGUAGGGGGUUGGCAAGAGGUUUAAGAAGUGAUUCCCCUCCUCCACCUCCAACCCAGCACACUUUGCAAAAGCAGCAGCCUUUUAAACAAUUUUUUAGAGUUAGAAGUUGCCACCGCCAUUGUUAAGAUUGUGGUGAGAAGACAACAAAGGAAGUGAUGGAACCUCAGUGGUCAGACCUUGAGACCUGUAGAGAAGGAAGGCAAAGGGUAGACUGGUUUUCCUGUGCUUUCACACCUUCAGCCCCAUCUCACCAUCAACCUAGAGUAGUGGUUCUUAGGUACAGUGCCAGAACCAGUAGCAUCAGCGUCACCUGGGAACUUGUUAGAAAUGCAGAUUCUCAGGCACCACCCCAGACCUAGUGAAUCAGAAACUCUAGGAGUGUGGCCCAGUACUCUGUGUUUUAACAACCCCUCAGGGUGAGUGUGAUAUGCCGUAAAAUUUAAGAAUUGACCCAUGGCACUCCCCAAGCACACAUCCCCACCCACGUGCAGGCAGACCUGUUUUCUGGAUAGAUUCUCCCCGAUGUUAGGAGGUGGCCUUACCUGGGUCAGCCUCAGGUACCUUGUUUUAUUUAUAUUUGUAUUCUCUGGGUCUAACACAUCAAAGUUGUUUAAUAUGUGGCUAAGGAACUAAACUGAAUUGUAUUUUUCAUAUAUGUUGGGAUAAGUUCAUUUAUUCUGUCCUUAGGUCUCUACCAUUUGGCAAUAUCCAAGAUCACCUCUCUUUCACACCACUUCUUUCCUUUCCUCAGGGGUUCUUUGCCCCUUUCCCCAUCUCCCUAAUUCUAAUGUACAGAGCUUGCAAAGGUCCUGUGGUGCACAGCCUGUUCUUUCCUCUCUAAAUUCAGUCCCUCGAAAUUCACACUGUUUCAAAUAUUACUGCUAUGGUAUAACUUCCAGCGAUAGCAUUCCGCCUGAAGGUCCUGGCUAUCAUAUUCAACAUGGCUGCCUCAUGCUCUCUACCCAGUCUAUUCCUUCCUGCCCACUCUGCCCACAAUUGUCUGACUUCAUUCCUUCUGUGAGUGCUCUCACCAUUCAUUCUCUCUCACUUUGGCUCCAACUCCUGCUCUUACAGAUGUCCCUGAGUCUCCUCCAUCUGUCACUUCCAUUCCUUUCCAGUCAAUACCACAAUAGUUAAAGUCUUCAUUCCUGGACAAUUGUGAUUGGCUCCCGACUGUCCUCCACCCCAAAUCUCUCCUAGCUCUGAUCCAGCCACAACUCAUCACUGUCAGAUUAAUUUUCAUACGACACUGCUAUGGUCCUGACAGGGAGGGAAACAGCACCGAACAAACUAUCAUGAACAUUACAUACCCCAGUUCCUAGAAGUAUCAUUCCUGUCACCAAGAAUUUUCACAGGUCCCUCCCCAUAGAGUCCAUACACCCACCUUAUCCCCAGAGCUUGGCUCCUCUCUCUCCCUAUUUACUCUAAUUGUUCUCUCCUUUCCUCUCUGACUGCCCUCUGGAACUCAAAAUUUAUGCUUCAUCACGUCGAGCCAUUUGACUCUUAUUCAGGCCAUCACCUAGGAUUACCUUGACAAUCACAAUGGCCUAAGAAAGGGCUUUGCUAAGUCUAGUUCUUUAGCUAAACACAGUUCUUUCUUCUAAGGGAAGUCUGUUGACUGCCUUUAAUCUUAACAAUACAUUUUUUUCUCCCCACUACUGGCUGAUGAAGGAUCCAAGAGGUUCAGGCUGCAGUGAAUUAUCAACAAGACCUGGCUUAGUCCAGGCCUUUAGGCAGGAGUUCAGGGCCUCAGAGGCUUCCUGAGUGCUCCAGAAUCCUGAGAAAGGGAAGAAGCCAGCUUUUAAGGAGGUGGCUGGCAAGAAAGUACAGAACUGGAGUCUGGCUGACUCUACUUCCACAGAGAAAGCUAAACCCCUUUCUUCAGGAUACGAAAGAGAGAAGGCAAGAAUUGAAGACUCAGAAGCCAAAAGACACUCUGACCAUAGAGAAACCUCCUAGAUUAGCCCUGAGCUAACAUCUGCUGCCAAUCCUCCUCUUUUUGCUGAGGAAGACCAGCCCUGAGCCAACAUCCGUGCCCAUCUUCCUCUACCUCAUAUGUGGGACGUCCCCACAGCAUGGCUUGUCAAGCAGUGCCAUGCCUGCACCUGGGAUCCAAACCAGCGAGGCCUGUCCCGCCAAAGCAGCACACGUGCGCUUAACCACUGUGCCACUGGGCCAGCCCCUCUUUCUUCAUUCUUGCCUUAAUGACCUCUGUCAGAAGCGAUCAUACCAUUAAAGUCUAAGGAGGGAGCUGUCUGAUAGCCCCUGAAGAGUCACAGAACAUUAAUGGGCUUGCCAUUGAAUAGUGUCCUCAGCUUUGGAGGUCCAGAAACUCCUUUUAUCCAGCUGUCCUUGUUUGUUCCUGCUUGCCUGACUCUGGGUACUAAAGUCUACCACCACCAAGCUCAGCGCUGGAAAUGAGCACCUAGCUAAUAUGUUAGGAAAUACUCCCUCCAGUAGCCUGUGAAGUUUAGAAGUAGCGCACUGCAGCAGGCCAAGCCGUCUGGACUUG